rnacentral:lncRNA from 1 species
CAUACUUCAUUCUGCUUGAUUAUAAUGUCAUAAAGACAACGGUAGGGAUGACUGACUUGAACAUAUUGAUUAGAACGACGGUAGAUGAAGUUUUUGAACUGAUUAGAACAAAUACAUACAUACUAAUGAAGCAAAUGGCCAUCAACUGCGAUACCCUUUCCUUCUUUAUUCUGACAACAUUACACCAUAACAUAUGAGCUGGAAUUACUAACUGGAAAGCAACUUGAGACCUCCGUAAGAUGUCACAGUAAACUCUUCAGUUCUUGCCACCGAUGGAUCAAGUCACUCUUUGCUGUUUGGACUUUAACGUUGCACAUCCGACAGCCAACUGCACGUAGCACCAAUUGCAAACCUCGUCGAUUAAUCGGAAGAAAGCAGUCCUUAUGCUCUGUUUCAUGAUCAUUGUGCUUAUAAAACUCCAAAAACCAACCACAAAACCCAUGACGAUGCCGAUAAUUUCCCACACUGUUUCAAGCCUGUCACCGUUUUUCUCUUCCUGUUCAUGAGGUGGACUUUGAUAAGCUUCAUCACCUGGGCACUCUGGCAGCGGCGUACCACAAAGGUAUUCAUUACCAUCAUAGAUCGACAGGUCUCCAAGAAAGGUCGACAUUUGACCACCGGCUGUUGGGAUUCUUCCUGACAAGUUAUUGUGAGAGAGAUUCAAGUGGCUUAGGAAGGUGAGAGAUGAUAAGCUGGAAGGAAUAUCUCCGGUGAGAUUGUUCAUUGACAAAUCCAGUGAUUCCAGUUGUUCCAUGGAACCAAUCUUUUCUGGAAUGGUUCCUCUCAAAUGAUUCUUAGAUAAGUUCAAGAAAAGCAAUCCAUGAAGGUUCGUUAGCUCUCUUGGGAUCUCUCCGGAAAGAUUAUUAUUUGAUAGGUCUAUGCUUGUUACAAGUGAGAGAAUUGUGGUGUAUUGGAUGUCAAAUCCUUUCACCGUUAUUACUAUGCUCUCGACAUAGUAACUACCAGCGUCAAGAUGAAGCAAUGACGUAGUAUCAUGUUGUAUCUCAACCAUAGCCCUACAAUUUCCCAGAGAUGAAGGUAUGCUACCAGAAAGAUUGUUGGAAGAAAGAUCCAAAACCUGAAGAGAAGUAAGAUUUGCUAUAUGCACUGGAAUGGGACCGUAAAAUAGGUUUGACUUCAAACAAAGAACUCUCAAGGAUAAAAGGUUUUCUCCCACCCAUGUUGGUAUUUCAUCAUACAAAUUAUUUUCACCGAGACCAAGAGUAACUAAUUGUUCACAAUGUUUCAGGAACGAAGGAAAUCUUCCAGAUAGGUUGUUGUGGUUCAAAUGCAGGGACUGUAGAGAAGUUGGAAAGGAUUUAUGGCAAGUUGGGACUUCCCCAGAUAAAUUAUUGUUCGAUAGGUCGAGGACUUGGAGAUAAUUAAAAUUACAGAAAAAGGAAGGAAAACUGCCGUUGAUAUUAUUAUGAGAUAAAGAUAAAAUUGCAAGAUUCGAGGUAUUUGCAAAACUCAAUGGAAUGGGUCCGACAAAUGAGUUAUUAGAGAGAUCGAUCACUUCAUUGGCAGCAGAGGGUAGUGGGCCAUUUAAGUUAUUAGAACUCAAGUUAAGAUUCGAUAAACCUUUUGAGAAAUCCGAAAACCAAGUCGGAAGGUUGCCUGAGAGUCCAACUCCAGAUAAAGAAAGUUGUUCCAAACGUGAUUGUGUAUGAAUCCAAGCAGGAAAUUUGGUUCCCAGAUGACAUGAGUCCAUGAAAAUACUGUAGGCAUUAAAAGGUGGAAGCCAAUCAUUAGGUAAGAUCACAUUCAAGGAGUUGUAAGAAAUGUCCAAUAAGGUUAAAUCGGUGAGUUUGGAAAAGUGUGCUUCAGUGAUGUUGCCUUUCAGUGAAUUUGAGGAGAGGUCCAAUUCACUUAAUGCAGAUAAUUGACCCAUACUUGAGGGGACAAUUCCACUCAAAUUGUUAUAUGAUACAUUCAAAUAUUCCAAGGUGUAGAGUCUGUCGAAGGUCUCUGGCAUCUGCCCAGUAAUAAAAUUUUCAGAUAAAUCUAGAGAUAGUAUAUUUUGGAGAUUCCCAAUACUUUCUGGUAUCUGUCCUGAAAUUUUAUUUCCCGACAAUCUCAAGCUCUCUAAGUUGAUGAUAUUACCAAAAGUCAUCGGUAUACCUCCAGUUAUACUGUUGUAAGAGAGAUCCAAGUAUUCUAAAUUGGUGAGAUUAUCUAUGAUUUGUGGAAUUUCUCCAGCAAUAUGAUUGGAUCUCAAACUUAAAUAUCGCAAGCUGCUUGUGAAAUUUUUCACCAUUUCUGAAAUAUCUCCAUCGAGCUCGUUACCAUCUAAUGCAAGAUACUCCACGGGGCCAAGACUCCAUAAGAUUUGUGUAAUAUCUCCACUUAAUGAAUUUCCACUCAAAUCCAAAUGCUUUAAGCUCUUGCUCACAUUCAUUACUAUUCCAAGAAUUUCUCCUUUCAUACCAUUGUAUUGCAAAUUAAGUUCUUUCAAAUUACUCAGAGCUCCCAGAGUGAUUUGUAGUGACUCAAUAUCGACACCUUUGCAGCUAGCAAGAUCGAGAUAUACAAGGCUGCUAGCAUGAGAGAGCCAUCUUAGAAUUGUUGUAUUCAAGUUCAAAUAUCCAGAGAUAUCCAACUUGACAAUUGAAGUCAGAUUAAAAGGGAACGAAGGAGAUGAAACAUAUGGGAGGUUUGCCCACUUCAAGUGCAAUACUUUAAGACUAUGGAUUGAAUUAACUUGAUGAAGCCAAUUAGUUGCUUUAGAGAGGUUGACAAAACUCAUAUCAACAUAUAUUAGAGAAGAAAUCCGGGAAAGCCAAUCAAGGUCAUCAGCUCGUAGAUCACUAAGUCUACAUCCUUUGAUAUCGAGGUAGUGUAGGUUGGAGAGGUUCCCCAGUUGUGGAGGUAUUAGUCCAUCAAACAUAGCAUUGGAUAGGUUAAGAUAUUCCAAGUGCAUAAAUGAAGCAAUCAUGAGGGGCACGUUUGCGCCAAAAAAGUUAUUCAUGCUCAAAUCCAGAUGUUUCAGAUACUUCAGAUCAUGCAAAGCAGGAUUUACCUUGCUCGCACCCAUCCCUUCCAGCAUGAAGCAAAUGUCAUCCUCGUCAUCCCAAUCGUCUGUGAGAGGAUAGCGGAGGUCGAGCUCGAUGACAUGGUUGGUGGUGUUGUCGCAGGCCACUCCUCUCCAACGACAACAAUCUUCACCGAUCCAAGAAGAGAACCUUUCGUUGGAGUGGUACAUAUCAGAUCUAAUGGCAAGGAGAGCUCUCCUCUCACUCUCUACGCAGCUUCUCCCCUCCGUCCCGAGACGAUCAACAUGAUCGUCUCUGACAUGGCCGAGACAACAAGAGAUGACUCCAAAGCUCAUAAUUACGGCUAUGAGUACGAUGACAUGCUUUGGAAAAAUAGAUUCACCCUUGCAGCCACCGUUAGCAGCCAUUUGAGUAAACUUUCCGCGAUGAGGAAGUUGAAGGUGUGAGGUUGGAAGGUGGCUCCAUACAUACAUUUAUUAUAGAAUGACAAUGAACGGUACUUGAGGACCUUUUCAAUCUCAACGAUCCGUGUCGUUGACAUGAUGUUCCCGCACUCCAACGUUUACUGACGUGAUAAGUGGUUUGGAAUGGGCUGGCGAAUCUUCCUCGUUGAUUCUUCCAACCAUAAUGAUGAGGCUCUUUGUGAAGGAUGUGACAUAUGAAAUAAAAGUUUCCUUUAUAUGAUAAUUGAUAACAAGUGGUGUUAUGUGUAAAGGGAGUACUUAAAUUACACUUGGACAACGAUGUGAUCAUUACUGGUUAGUAAUUGAACCGAUGAGUUAAUCUGAUUGAAUGAAUAUUUAAUACAAAUAUCCAAUAUUAUAUAUAUAUAUAUAUAAGUUUUAAAUAUGAAUAUUUAUUAUCUGAAACUAUUACAAGAAAGCAACUGAGUCCAAGUCUUUGAUGUCACUCAAGAUCUUUUGUUGUUAACAUUCUAGAAGGCAUCAAUGAGUUGUGGAGUGAUCACUAUUAAGCAUAGGAUUUUAUAGUAUUUUAUUAUACUCUAAAAUUAGUUUAGUUUCGAUAUAUCUCAAGAAUAAUUAUUGUAGGUAUGAGGUUUUUACACUCUGAAGCAUUUGUGGUAUGGUUACAAUACAAGUCAAAGUCAAACAGAUAUUUAUCUUGUAUCUCUUGAAUGGUAGUAGUGAUAUGUUCUAAUGAGAUGAUAAAUGGAUUGAAUUUUUGGAUCUUCCUAGCACACCGUGUCAAGAAAUGUCACUGUCAAUGUUUCAUAUGUGUGGGUUUUCCUAUUCGUAAUUUCAUGUUCGUUUUUUUUGAAGUAGACAACUUUCAUUGAAUUAGAAAUAAAUUAUACAAUUAUUUGUAAUAUAUAUAUAUAUAUAUAUAUAUAUAUUUUUUUUUUUAGAAAAUAAAAAUAAAUCUUUUAAAAAAAUAUUCUCUUCUCAAGUAUUCAAUCAUUAGAGUGACUUUGCCAUGAUUUUUGGAUAGAAAGAAGUGUGACUGAGACAUGAGAAAAAGAAUCAGCGCAUGAUUCCAACAUUUAAGUUGAGGAGGAUCCAAACUUUCAUCCUUCCAAAAAUGUAAUAUCAUCCUUAACUAAUUAUUUCUUAAUUAGUUGACUAUUGUAAGUGUUCCAAUGUACGCACUAAGAGUCAUGACUAAAGGUGACACAAUCAACGUUGGAAUAACAUUAAUCAAUGCAUGUCAAUUGGAUUUUCAUAGCCCCACUUUGACAUGUCGCGUUGAGAAUUCUAGUGACGUGUUGAAUGGUUUGAUGGGGGAUGAAAUGAAACUAGCGAGUCUUUUGUGCAAAAAGUCUCAAAAGUUGAUUUUAUCUUUUGAGCAUUUCUUGAUGUCCCAUUCUAACUCAUCCCGUCAAGGGGGCAAAGAGAGAGAUCACUGUUUUCUUAUCGAGCAUGCGCACCUUCCUCUCUCUUUCCUUCUGUUUGUUUUUUAUUUGUCUUCUUUAAUGUAUAAGUAAUAAGUAUAUACGUUUCUAUUUUUAUUGGAUACGUAUAAGCAAUAUUUUGAUAGAACAUUGUAACUCAUUUCUUUUUUGACUUCUCGUAUUUCCAUAAUUUAUUGAGUGAAUUUUUUCAUGUCAUAUAAUGUUGGCAAUCCUAAAGAAAUACCUAAUAAAUAAGGGAAUUGGGUGAAGAUAGAUAAUAAAUAAAAAAAUAAAAGAGAGAAAAAUAUUAAUUUAAGGGGGAGGGAUUUGAAAUAUUCUUGUGACUUACGUUGUUGAAAUAUACAAAUCUUUAUUGUAAAUUAGUUUUAGAGAGGAGAAAAGAGGAACGAAUGUAGAUGAUAGUUUUGGACUCGUUAAGUCUAAUGAACCAAUGGAAUGAUUUGGAGAAGAAUUUUUUUUUUAAAUACUAAAGCGAUGAACGCUUUAUUUUAUUCUCUAGAUAAAAAUGAAUUCAAUCGGAUUUCUAUUUCACAUUUGGCACACUCUUGAAAUCACACAUGAAGGUACUAAUAAAAUUAAAGAUUCAAAAAUUAAUCUUUUAAUUUAUAAUUUUGAAUUAUUUCGUAUGAAGCUAAUCUUUUAAGUCAAGUGAAACUAUUGUUGAUAUGUAUACAUGUUUUAUGGAUGUCAUCAAUAGUUUAAAAGUUCUUGACAAAUAUUUUUCUAAUCUAAAAUUAUGAACUCAUAUUACUCAUAUGUUUUAUAAAAAAUAAUACUAUUAUCAUGAUCCCAUUAUAAUUCUCAGUUUUUUACAUAGGUAAAAAAAAAUGAAAACAAAGUAAUUAACAAAGAAGAAAAUGAAAUUGCAUCAAGAUGAUUCAAUAUGUUUUACUUGGUCAUAUUUUGAUAAAACAAGCUUCUAGAAUUGUAUUAUAAAAUAAUUUCCUUCUUUAUAUAUCAUGUUCUUCCUUUCUUAUAAGAUGAUAAUUCUUUUUGUCUUUUCUUUUAUUUAUGUUUUUCUUCUUAUUUACUGGCAAUCUUGAAAUAAGAUCAUAAAUAUGCAGGAUAUUGUCAUGUGAAAAUACAAAUAUAUCAAUUGAACCCGAACUUGAAUUAACUAUCAAUUCAAAUGAUUUUAGUAGGUCUUUUUUAUUUUCACAUAUGGCAAAUGUGGCCUGAUUUCCACCGUGUGAAAUUCAAUGAUACUGGCAUAAAUCAUGGAUUGAGAUAUAGGAAAAGAAUCAAUUGUAAAUUUCUUAACUGGUUAUAUGUAUAUAUACAUAUAUAUGUAUAUAUAUGUAUAUGUAUAUAUAUAUGUAUAUGUAUAUGUAUAUGUAUAUGUAUAUGUAUAUAUAUAUAUAUAUAUAUUUAUAUGUAUAUAUAUGUAUAUGUAUAUUAUAACUAAUCAAUCAAUCUCAAGCACCCCAGUGAGGUUCUCACACUCCAACAUUUAACCAAUACAGUCAUGACUUUAUGAAUGAGUUGGAAUGAGAUUGACAAAUCUUCCUUGUUGACUCUUGAAAUCUUAAUUGGGAUAUGAAAUAUGAUUGUGACUAUAUCUCAGGACUAGUUCUUGGUAUGAGGUUUUUCAACUCUAAGAUAUUUAUGGUGUGGUUACAAUGAAAGUCAAAGUCAAGUAAAUAUCUAUGUUUGUUUGAUGGAAGUCAAAGUCAAAGUCAAAGUCAAGUCAAACUCCAUUGAUUUAUCUUCUUAACGUAUCAUAUCAAGUGAACAAGAAAUGAACGGUUAUACUUGCAUCUUUUCCUAUAUGUACUUUCAUAUUUAAUUAAUUUUUAUUUAUAUAAAAAAAUUAAGUUUUUAGAAAAUAAUUUUAGUAUCGACCCUGUCCUUUAGCACACACAAAUGGAACCACCAAUAAUAAUAAUAAUAAUAAUAAUAAUAAUAAUCUCUUCUCAUAUAUUUAAUCAUCUUCGGGUUAGGUUUCCCAUAGUUAUUUGAUUAAUUAAUGGAAAAAAAGUGAUUGAGAUAUAAGGGAAAAAAAAUAGAUGAUUCUAAUAUAUAAGUUGGGAAGGGUUCAAACUAUAAUUCUAUGGUGGUUUGAAGGAGGGAGCUAGAGUGAAUCAGACGAGUCUUCCUGCAAAUAAGUCUCGGAAGUUGAUGUCGUCUAUAAUCCUCUCUUGAUGUUUUAACUCGCUCGAUCAAGGGGGAAAGAGAGAGUCUACUGUUUGAUUGCCUAGCAUGCCGAUCCUCCUCUCUCUUGCCUAUUGUCUGCUUUAUCUUUAUCCUCAUUAAUACAUAAUUAAUAUGUAUAUCUAUUUUUAUUUUUAUUGGAUAUGUAUAAAUAAUAUUUUGAUAGGACCACUACAACUCAUGCAUUGACUAAAUUUUUUUUAUAUGUCAUACACCAAAAGAGAAUUCUUAAUAUAUGAGAGAAUUGGAUGGGGUGGACAGUAAAAAGGAAAAAAACUAAAAUGGAGACGAAACCAAAUAUUUUGAUUUUUAGAAAUAUUAGUUCGAGUAAUAAAAAAUACAUAAAAUAAAAUCCAAUUUUGUGAAGGAAUAAUAAAUGUACGAAUAAAAUACCCAAUCGUCAUGAAUCACGACUUAAAUAACGUAUAUGAUUGCAAUUUAUAGCUUUAUUUUAAGAACUUGAUGCCUUGUUAAUUUUUAGUAACACUGGAAAUGUUUGGAUGCGAAAUGUUAUUCUUAUGGAUAUUAUAAUGCUGGAAAUUAAACUAAAUUAAACAUUAUCCAAUUAAUAUAAAUAGUUCCGAUGUCCGAUUGGCAGACAAUUUGACCAUAUUACAUCAUUGAUGUCUAUUGAAGCUAAAAUAAUAGUCGACAUAAGCUGCCAAAAGAAAAUAUAGGAAAUGAAAGAAAAUAAAAAAAAGAAUAAUAAUCUUUCCUAAGCAAAUAAGAACUGUAACAUUCAUGCAAGGUUUGAAUUAAUAUAAAUAUUACUGCAAAACAGAUAAUGACUCGAUGAUUACUGUAACAUUCAUUCAAAGAGCCUUAAACAUUUACAUUAACUGCUAAAAAAAGAGAUAAAGAUUGAAAGUAGACUAAUAACUAGUAUUGCAUUGAUAAGAAUGCAAAGAGCUGAACGAUAUAUACUUCAGAAUUGAGCUUUUAAAUUGCAUUAUAUAAGUCCUGAUCAUUUAAAGUUCUUUGCAGAAUGGUUACAUAGGCUUAUCAUUUAAGAUUGAUGUGCUUACAGAGAAUUGAUAUCUUAGAUUGAUGUGCUGUCAUUCUGAAUCAUUCGGUGAUAAUAGUUGCAUGACAUGUGGAUUUGUGGAGAAGUUUACGCCCCCAUGACCCUCAACGAGGGAGCUGCAAUUAAAGAUAGAGAAAUGGGCCUCUGCUUCACACGAACUUAAGAUAGUGUCUGAGCUGCUAAGGUAAUAUGUAUAUCGCAAUUGUUUGAAGCUUUAAAGCUCCAGAAUGAUCACAGUUGGACAUGCACAAUAUACCGAAACUAUACUAAUAACAUAACAUCAUAAUACAUAGAACACCAGAAACUGUCCAGUCCUUUUGCUGAUAGCAUUACAUGAUAUAACAUUUGGGCGACUUGGUGGAAAGGACCGUAUGAUCUCAAGCUGUAAUAGUAAAUGUGUCACCCAAGUUUCCUGCGACAGUUCAUGUGGUUCUUCUCGAUUUGGACUUCAGCCUUGCAAAACUUACUGCCAACUGCACGAAGACCCAAUCACCAGUCUUAUCUGUCAAACGGAAGAGAGCAACCCUUAGAGACUGUUUCAUGAUCAUUAUGCCAAAACAACUCCAAAACCCCACCACGAAUCCCAUGACGAUGCUUGUAAUUUCUAAGACUCCUUCAAACUCGCCAUCACUGUAUUCUCCUUCUUCUUCAAUUGCUGCAGGAGGUAGGCUUCGAUAAGCAACAUCUCCAGGGCACACAGGCAGUGGCUUACCACAAAGGUCUUUGUUGCCAACAUAGAUUGAGGGGUCAUUUAACGUGGACAAUUGAUUGCUUGUUGGAAUGCUUCCUGACAAGUUGUUGUAAGAUGAGACUCGAGUGGCUCAGAAAGGUGAGAGUAGAAAAGCUACAAGGAAUAUUUCCUUUCAAAUGAUUGUCGGACGAGCUAAGAUAUUGUAUACCUGUAGACAUAUCCGAGAACCAAGCUGGAACUUUGCCCGCGACUCCAACUCCAGAUAGUUGAAGGCUUCUCAAAUUAGUUUGGCUUCGAAUCCAAGUAGGAAAUUUAGUUCCUAUAUGACAGAAACUCAUGUCAAUAAAUGGAGCAUUAAAAAGGGGAAGCCAAUUUGAAGGAGCUGUAAAGAUAUGUCCAAAAUUUCCAAGUUGAAGGAGCUGUAAAGAUAUGUCCAAAAUUUCCAAGUUGAAGGAGCUGGGAAAAGUGUGCUUCAGUGAUGUCGCCUUCUAGUGAGUUUGAGGAGAUGUCCAACCUGUACAUUCCAGAAAAUUGACCCAAAUUAGAUGGAAUAAUGCCAUUAAAUUUGUUGCCCUCAAUACUUAAGUAUGACAAGGCUGCUCCUCCACGACAACUCGGCAAACCUAAAGUCCUCCGCAUCUGCCCUGAUAAGUGGUUGAUCUGAUAUAUCCAAGAACUGCAAGAGGUCGAGUUUGCCAAUUGUUUCAGGUAGUUGCCCGGUAACAGAGUUACGAGACAGACGUAAAACCUGCAGACUUUGAAGAUUGCCAAUGUGUGCAAGGCUUCUAGCAUUAGUGAGCCUUCUUAGAAUACAUGCAUUACUUGAGUUCUAAUAACCACAGAGAUCGAGCAUGGCAAUGGAUGUCAACAGAAGACUACUAAAAGCUACAAAAAUUGCCAACAGAAGCUGCCAUAUAAAAUAACACAAAGAAAAGCAUGUGUCGACAUCAAAUUAACGAGGCAAUGUAUCGAAAGGAAAGCGAUAACAGAACGACGGAAGAUAAAAAAGUAUUUGAAGAGAUUAGAAGGAAUGCAUUACUUGAUACUUCUUCCUUCUUUAUUCUGACAGCAUUGCAUGAUGAUUACAUACAGCAUUACUUGAAAGCAGCUUGCGACCUCAAGAUGUAACAAUAAGCUCUUCAACAUACUUCUUUCUGCUUUAUUAUAAUGUCAUAAAGACAACGGUAGGGAUGACUGACUUGAAAACAUAUUGAUUAGAACGACGGAUGAUGAAGUUUUUGAACUGAUUAGAACAAAUACAUACAUACUAAUGAAGCAAAAGGCCAUCAACUGCGAUACCCUUUCCUUCUUUAUUCUGACAACAUUACACGAUAACACACGAGCUGGAAUU